rnacentral:rRNA from 1 species
UACGUAGGGAGCGAGCGUUGUCCGGAUUCAUUGGGCGUAAAGAGCUCGUAGGCGGCUUGGUAAGUCGGAUGUGAAACCUCCAGGCUCAACCUGGAGUCGCCAUCCGAUACUGCCAUGGCUAGAGUCCGGUAGGGGCCCACGGAAUUCCUGGUGUAGCGGUGAAAUGCGCAGAUAUCAGGAGGAACGCCGAUGGCGAAGGCAGUGGGCUGGGCCGGCACUGACGCUGAGGAGCGAAAGCGUGGGGAGCGAACAGG